ACGGAGGAUGCAAGCGUUAUCCGGAUUUAUUGGGUUUAAAGGGUGCGCAGGCGGAAUGAUAAGUCAGUGGUGAAAUCCUACAGCUUAACUGUAGAACUGCCAUUGAUACUGUUGUUCUUGAGUACAUUUGUAGUGGGCGGAAUGUGUCAUGUAGCGGUGAAAUGCUUAGAGAUGACACAGAACACCGAUCGCGAAGGCAGCUCACUAAACUGUAACUGACGCUGAGGCACGAAAGCGUGGGGAUCAAACAGG
rnacentral:rRNA from 1 species